rnacentral:rRNA from 1 species
AGCGAACGCUGGCGGCAGGCCUAACACAUGCAAGUCGAACGAACUCUUCGGAGUUAGUGGCGGACGGGUGAGUAACACGUGGGAACGUGCCUUUUGGUUCGGAAUAACUCAGGGAAACUUGUGCUAAUACCGAAUGUGCCCUUCGGGGGAAAGAUUUAUCGCCAUUAGAGCGGCCCGCGUCUGAUUAGCUAGUUGGUGAGGUAACGGCUCACCAAGGCGACGAUCAGUAGCUGGUCUGAGAGGAUGACCAGCCACACUGGGACUGAGACACGGCCCAGACUCCUACGGGAGGCAGCAGUGGGGAAUCUUGCGCAAUGGGCGAAAGCCUGACGCAGCCAUGCCGCGUGAAUGAUGAAGGUCUUAGGAUAGUAAAAUUCUUUCACCGGGGACGAUAAUGACGGUACCCGGAGAAGAAGCCCCGGCUAACUUCGUG